UCCAGGAAGUGAGUGUCCCUAAGACUCUCCUACGUUGUCUUGGCUGUGUGCUUAGGGUAGUUGUCCUGUUGGAAGGUGAACCUUUGCCCCCAGCCUGUCCAGAGCAGGUUUUCAUCAAGGAUCUCUCUAUACUUUGCUCUGUUCAUCUUUCCCUCGAUACUGACUGGUCUCCCUGUCGCUGAAAAACAUCCCCACAGCAUGAUACUGCCACCACGCUUCACCAUAGGGAUGGUGCCAGGUUUCUUCCAGAUGUGAUGCUAAGGAAUUCAGGCCAAAGAGUUAAAUCAACUGGACUGGAGCCAAGCACCAAACAUUUUCCUGCACACUAGCUUGCUACUUUCUGUAGGUCUACACGUUACCGUCCUCUGAUGAUCCUUCAUAAUUUAACUUGAAUGUUAUUUGUGGGAAUACGUUCAUCUUUGCGGUGCGAAGUUUGUUACAAUCUAAGAUAAUGAUUGUUAAUGUAAUUAACGGUUAUUAGAACACCUGUAAAGCAGAGUGAUACAUGUAUAGUUAAAAGUCCGUGUUAUACUCUACUCCAAUCAAAUUACUUGGUCGUAUUAUAAAUACUUGUGAACAUUCAGUUAUUUACGCUCUUUUCAUCGAAAGCAGUGGGACCGGUUUACUUGCUUUUAGUAACGUUCAAGAUGCUUUGGCGGUGCAUUAUCUUCUGCGUUUUUAUUACUUUUUAAUUGAAACGGAGCCAUAUCAAUAUAUUGCACAGUCGCAGCCCUGAUUUCCAGUUGCUCUAUGGUAUUGACGGAUGCACUGAGGAAAAUAGUGUACAAUUCCUUCUAUCAUGUAAAGAGAAGACACCUUCAACACCUACUUGAAGGCACCGGACCAGGUGAACAGCCAUCGGAGGAAAGCCAACUACCACCGGAACAAGACAACAUUCAUCCCGAUCAGCUUCUAGCUAUCUCCAAACACCUGACUUGGAUGAAGGGCAAAGGGGCAUUGACCAACUUGGAGCUGUCAGUGCAACAAGUAAGUUACUCGGUUGGUGGCAGUCGAUUGAAAUUGACCAUAAAGUACUAAUAGCAUUCAAUCUCUUCUGUCACAAACAUUAUACUUGUCAUGAACUAGUAAUGUCCAGCCUGCACAUGACAUUGAAUGUUUAAUCCUGACAACUCUAUUUUUUGGAUCUGACAGCACAUGCCACUGCUUUUGUGAUAAAUGCCAGAGCCAAGCAUUGUCUCACAGGUAAGAUGUUAUUUCUUAACAGAGCAUGGCAUUUGGUUAGUUGCAUUAUGCAGAGCAUUUUGUAGUGGUUCAGUGAUGGUUAAGUUUAUUCUUAGUGCUAGGUUGUCCGCCUUACAAUUGUUGAUCCCUUAUGUUAAUGUCAUAAGCAAAAUCUGUAUACAUGGUGUUCCAACCUCCAUGAUUGAUCUUUCUCUCUCACUCAGAAAGGCGUGAAUUACAUUGUUGCUGGGGUAAAGCAGUAUCAAUCAUCACUAUUGGACAACCUCAGGAAGCAGGUGGAGGGAGUGCUAAAGUAGAGGUUGACCGAUUUAAUUAGGGCCGAUUAAGUUUUCAUAACAAUCGGUAUUUGAGCUCCGAUUUUUAAAUGUUUUUAUAUAUAUGUAUAUGUGUGUAAAAAAAUGGAACUAGACAAAUCCACCACAUCUCCCAGCUUGUGAGAUUGUGCCCUUGUUAACACACAAGCAGGAAAAACAUAGGGAAAUGCUUGAACCAAUUUAUCGUCUACUACCUAACACAGGAGUGACGUUACCACCAGCGAUAUCGUUCCCUAGUAGCAAUGUGGGAACGCAACACCCUGCUACACUUAGCUCCCUGUGGAGUGAAAGUAGUAUGGGAUUGCGGGUAAGGAUGGCAAAGAACUUUACUGUUACCAGGGAAUGUAUUUCCUUCACACGGUAAUUUGGGAAAAGGGGCUGGAUGGAACCAAAGCAAAGAAAGUAAAUGUUAGUCCUCUACCUUACCUGCCUAGCCACUACUUACCUAACCUUAACGCCACCUGGCGCGCUAACCAAAAUACAGAUGGUGGUCCGCCCAGGUCUUACCUAAUGUGCAUAGACAGAGUACACACUACGGGUAUAUGUAUGCCCGCAGGCUUCUUGCCGAAGCACACCCAAGGUGCCCCUUCCCCCCCUGGGAACAAAUGAAAUAAUUACAAACUUUUUAAAGUGAACAAUUUCAAUAAUCACAAACNNNNNNNNNNUUAAUUUAGUAAGAGUAACUGGUGUGUGUGUAAAAAUACUGUUUGCACACUUCAUAUGUACAUUUAAAUACAAUGCAGUUUAAAUUGGAUCAUUAGCAAUAGGAGAGGCGCUGUGAUACGAUAUGUUUUUAAAGCUAAACUUGCUUUUUGCCUGAGCAACCUCGUGCCAGACCAUUCUGAUGACAUGGCUCUACACAUAACUAAGCGAUGCAUUAAAUCUGUUUUUGGCAUGGGUACUGUAAAGAAACCCAUAGUGGCGUGUCUGAAGUAUAUGCAAAUAGAUUAUACACGUGAGAAUACAAAAAAAGGAUCCGUCUGUUUUUAAAAUGGCCACUCCCUCUAUCGCGAUUCNNNNNNNNNNCCCCCCCAAAAUACAAAUAAUACUUUUGUUUCAUAGUAGGACAUAAGACUGCAAUAACACCAGGAAAUCAGCGCCAAGUGAUUUUCAUUUAAGAAAUCUGUUCAAGUAUUCCCACGCAUAAGUGAUUGUAUACAAAUAAGAAAGGUUUGAAAUGAUUGUUUUAUGCAAACAUUAUACUGUAUCUGUUUGGCCUUCUUGCAGUCAAUUUGCAGUCUACAAAUUAUUUGUAAUUGUGUUCCGGCCCCCUGACCAUCCACUCACAAGAAUAAAUCGGCCCGCGGCUGAAUCUAGUUGAUCNNNNNNNNNNAAAGGCCUGAAAACUAGGACAUUUCUUUACACUGAGAGAGAGGUGUUGCAGCAUUUAUCCAAUAAACCCUUUUUACAUAGCAUUAUCAAGCCAAUUAGGAAAGAAUAUCAACGGAACUUGUAAGGACUUCAGAAGCCAAUUUUGGUGUAUAAUUUGAAAUAAAUCCCUUUUCUGCAUGUGCAUUUGGAAAGUAUUCAGACCCCCUUCACUUUCACAUGUUACUUUACAGCCUUAUUCCAAAAUUGACUUAAAUCUGGGUUGUCUCCUCAAUCUACAUGCAUUACCCCAUUAUGACACAGUAAAAACAGGUUUAGAAAUUUUUACAUACAUUAAAAAUAACACUGAAAUAUCACAAGUAUUCAGACCCUUUACUCAGUACUUUGAAGCACCUUCAGCNNNNNNNNNNACUUAAAUCUGGGUUGUCUCCUCAAUCUACAUGCAUUACCCCAUUAUGACACAGUAAAAACAGGUUUAGAAAUUUUUACAUACAUUAAAAAUAACACUGAAAUAUCACAAGUAUUCAGACCCUUUACUCAGUACUUUGAAGCACCUUCAGCAGCGAUUACAACCCGAGUCUACUUGGGUAUGACACUACAAGCCUGGCACACCUGUAUUUGGGAGAGUUUCUCCCAUUCUUCUCUGCAGAUCCUAUCAAGCUCUGUCAGGUUGGAUGGGAAGGGUUGCUGCACAGCUAUUUUCAGNNNNNNNNNNGAGCAGGUUUUCAUCAAGGAUCUCUCUAUACUUUGCUCUGUUCAUCUUUCCCUCGAUACUGACUGGUCUCCCUGUCGCUGAAAAACAUCCCCACAGCAUGAUACUGCCACCACGCUUCACCAUAGGGAUGGUGCCAGGUUUCUUCCAGAUGUGAUGCUAAGGAAUUCAGGCCAAAGAGUUAAAUCAACUGGACUGGAGCCAAGCACCAAACAUUUUCCUGCACACUAGCUUGCUACUUUCUGUAGGUCUACACGUUACCGUCCUCUGAUGAUCCUUCAUAAUUUAACUUGAAUGUUAUUUGUGGGAAUACGUUCAUCUUUGCGGUGCGAAGUUUGUUACAAUCUAAGAUAAUGAUNNNNNNNNNNAUAUCAAUAUAUUGCACAGUCGCAGCCCUGAUUUCCAGUUGCUCUAUGGUAUUGACGGAUGCACUGAGGAAAAUAGUGUACAAUUCCUUCUAUCAUGUAAAGAGAAGACACCUUCAACACCUACUUGAAGGCACCGGACCAGGUGAACAGCCAUCGGAGGAAAGCCAACUACCACCGGAACAAGUAAGUAGCUAGUUAUAUUUUUUUUAAAUCCAGGAGAAAAAAAAUCCUAUU
rnacentral:lncRNA from 13 species